rnacentral:rRNA from 1 species
GAUGAACGCUGGCGGCGUGCCUAAUACAUGCAAGUCGAGCGAACAGACGAGGAGCUUGCUCCUCUGACGUUAGCGGCGGACGGGUGAGUAACACGUGGAUAACCUACCUAUAAGACUGGGAUAACUUCGGGAAACCGGAGCUAAUACCGGAUAAUAUAUUGAACCGCAUGGUUCAAUAGUGAAAGACGGUUUUGCUGUCACUUAUAGAUGGAUCCGCGCCGCAUUAGCUAGUUGGUAAGGUAACGGCUUACCAAGGCAACGAUGCGUAGCCGACCUGAGAGGGGGAUCGGCCACACUGGACCUGAGACCCGGUCCAGACUCCACGGGAGGCAGCAGUAGGGAAUCUUCCGCAAUGGGCGAAAGCCUGACGGAGCAACGCCGCGUGAGUGAUGAAGGUCUUCGGAUCGUAAAACUCUGUUAUUAGGGAAGAACAAAUGUGUAAGUAACUAUGCACGUCUUGACGGUACCUAAUCAGAAAGCCACGGCUAACUACGUG